rnacentral:lncRNA from 1 species
GGGCCGUUCCUCUCCAAAGACUGUUCGGAGGAGACUUUGAAAAGUCGCCCGCCUUUCUCCGCUGCUGUUUGACACUCUGUCGAAGUCCAAAUUAGAAAAGUCCCCAGAACGUACAUGGGAGAAAAAAAGAGCGGCUUUCUUUUUAAACAGUUUUAUUUCUGCAGACGCAUAAGCGAGAUAGUUUAUGUUUGCGAAAUGACACUCUGAUUCAGCUCAGACACAGCUUGAUUAUUUUCUGGCUUGGGAUGCCAUUGACUGAAAACAGGUUGUCUGAUGUAAACAUUCAGCAAAUAUUUGAGCGCCUGCCGGGUGUCCGGCCAGCACUGUUAGCCUUUGGCGGAGCCCGAGGUGGAUAGGGGCAGACAACACACGGUCGCUGUCGCUUCUGGCCUCCAGUGGGCGUCACAUAGCAGCACCUGCAGCCUGCCUCAUCUGAGCAGAUUUCUCAGUGCCAGAACCACCUAGCAGGUUUUUUUGUGCCUCUGUUACUUAUGGCCUUAGUUCCAACAGAGAGGAAAAACGGUGCAUUCAACAAGGAUGCAAAUUUCUUUGCUCCAAGACAAUGUGGUUGUACUUAGAUGAGGCUACCUCAAGU